GAUGAAGAACGUAGCGAAAUGCGAUAAGUAAUGUGAAUUGCAGAAUUCAGUGAAUCAUCGAGUCUUUGAACGCACAUUGCGCCCCCUGGUAUUCCGGGGGGCAUGCCUGUCCGAGCGUCAUUGCUGCCCAUCAAGCGCGGCUUGUGUGUUGGGCCGCCGUCCGCCUUCCCCCCCGGGGGGAGGGGGACGGGCCCGAAAGGCAGCGGCGGCACCGCGUCCGGUCCUCGAGCGUAUGGGGCUCUGUCACCCGCUCUGGAGGCCCGGCCGGCGCCCGCCGACCCCCAACCUUCUUCUAACCAGGUUGACCUCGGAUCAGGUAGGGAUACCCGCUGAACUUAAGCAUAUCAAUAAGCGGAGGA
rnacentral:misc_RNA from 1 species